CGGAUAUGGUGUAAUGGUAACAUACCGGCUUCCCAAGCCGUUGUCACGGGUUCGAAUCCCGCUAUCCG
rnacentral:tRNA from 1 species